rfam:Serratia symbiotica genome assembly, type strain CWBI-2.3T, contig: SYMBAF_Contig_11
GAAUUGAAGAGUUUGAUCAUGGCUCAGAUUGAACGCUGGCGGCAGGCCUAACACAUGCAAGUCGAGCGGUAGCACAAGAGAGCUUGCUCUCUGGGUGACGAGCGGCGGACGGGUGAGUAAUGUCUGGGAAACUGCCUGAUGGCGGGGGAUAACUAGUGGAAACGGUAGCUAAUACCGCAUAACGUCGCAAGACCAAAGUGGGGGACCUUCGGGCCUCACGCCAUCAGAUGUGCCCAGGUGGGAUUAGCUGGUAGGUGGGGUAACGGCUCACCUAGGCGACGAUCCCUAGCUGGUCUGAGAGGAUGACCAGCCACACUGGAACUGAGACACGGUCCAGACUCCUACGGGAGGCAGCAGUGGGGAAUAUUGCACAAUGGGCGCAAGCCUGAUGCAGCCAUGCCGCGUGUGUGAAGAAGGCCUUCGGGUUGUAAAGCACUUUCAGCGAGGAGGAAGGGUAAUGUGUUAAUAAGACAUUGCAUUGACGUUACUCGCAGAAGAAGCACCGGCUAACUCCGUGCCAGCAGCCGCGGUAAUACGGAGGGUGCAAGCGUUAAUCGGAAUUACUGGGCGUAAAGCGCACGCAGGCGGUUUGUUAAGUCAGAUGUGAAAUCCCCGCGCUCAACGUGGGAACGGCAUUUGAGACUGGCAAGCUAGAGUCUUGUAGAGGGGGGUAGAAUUCCAGGUGUAGCGGUGAAAUGCGUAGAGAUCUGGAGGAAUACCGGUGGCGAAGGCGGCCCCCUGGACAAAGACUGACGCUCAGGUGCGAAAGCGUGGGGAGCAAACAGAUUAGAUACCCUGGUAGUCCACGCUGUAAACGAUGUCGAUUUGGAGGUUGCGCCCUUGAGGGGUGGCUUCCGUAGCUAACGCGUUAAAUCGACCGCCUGGGGAGUACGGCCGCAAGGUUAAAACUCAAAUGAAUUGACGGGGGCCCGCACAAGCGGUGGAGCAUGUGGUUUAAUUCGAUGCAACGCGAAGAACCUUACCUACUCUUGACAUCCAGAGAACUUUCCAGAGAUGGAGGGUGCCUUCGGGAGCUCUGAGACAGGUGCUGCAUGGCUGUCGUCAGCUCGUGUUGUGAAAUGUUGGGUUAAGUCCCGCAACGAGCGCAACCCUUAUCCUUUGUUGCCAGCGAUAAAGUCGGGAACUCAAAGGAGACUGCCGGUGAUAAACCGGAGGAAGGUGGGAUGACGUCAAGUCAUCAUGCCCUUACGAGUAGGGCUACACACGUGCUACAAUGGCGUAUACAAAGAGAAGCGACCUCGCGAGAGCAAGCGGACCUCACAAAGUACGUCGUAGUCCGGAUUGGAGUCUGCAACUCGACUCCAUGAAGUCGGAAUCGCUAGUAAUCGUAGAUCAGAAUGCUGCGGUGAAUACGUUCCCGGGCCUUGUACACACCGCCCGUCACACCAUGGGAGUGGGUUGCAAAAGAAGUAGGUAGCUUAACCUUCGGGAGGGCGCUUACCACUUUGUGAUUCAUGACUGGGGUGAAGUCGUAACAAGGUAACCGUAGGGGAACCUGCGGUUGGAUCACCUCCUUA